GGGAGGGGCGCGGGGACUCAAGCCACGGUUUUUGUGUCCGCGGCUGCACCCCUCUCGAAGCGUUUUCACGCACAUGGAUAACAUCACUAUUAUAAAACCUACGAUUGGUGCUCAAGGUAUUUUCAGACCCCUCCCUGGAUGGAUCAGCUGCUCCCACCCAGACUGAUGGUCUUGUGGCUUCCACUCAGGAACUGACUCAGCACAAGAGGACAGCUUUGACUCCCCAUUCCUGGGGGACCAGUCAGCACUCCCCACUACCUGCCCCCCAUCCAUGAGAUUAUCCUUAAAAACCCCAGUCUCCGAAUUUUCAGGGAGACUGAUCUGAGCAAUAAUAAAACGGCAGUCUCCUGUACAACCAGCUGUGUGAAUUAAACUCUUUCUCUGUUACAAUUCCUUUGUCUUGAUAAAUCGGCUCUAUUUGGGCAGUGGGCAAAAUGAACCUGAUGGGCAGUUACUAAGGGUGAAGUGUGGGAGUAGGGUUACAGAUUAAAGGAUAGUUUAGGAAGGCAUCCCAGAGGUGAGGCCAAAGCAGAAUCUUGAAGGGCAAGAAUUAUCCAGGCAAAGAAGGUAAGGAUAGAGAAGAGUAUUCAGGCCAGGCAUGGUGGCUCACGCCUGUAAUCAUAGCUCUUUGGGAGGCUGAGGUGGGCAGGUCACGAGCCU
rnacentral:lncRNA from 1 species